rnacentral:rRNA from 1 species
UACGUAGGGGGCAAGCGUUGUCCGGAAUUAUUGGGCGUAAAGCGCGCGCAGGCGGUUUUUUAAGUCUAGUGUAUAAUCCACGGGCUCAACCCGUGUUCGCACUGGAAACUGGGAGACUGGAGUGUAGGAGAGGAAAGUGGAAUUCCACGUGUAGCGGUGAAAUGCGUAGAGAUGUGGAGGAACACCAGUGGCGAAGGCGACUUUCUGGCCUAUAACUGACGCUGAGGCGCGACAGCGUGGGGAGCAAACAGG